GAGUGGACUCCUACGGGAGGCAGCAGUGGGGAAUAUUGCACAAUGGGCGGAAGCCUGAUGCAGCGACGCCGCGUGAGGGAUGACGGCCUUCGGGUUGUAAACCUCUUUCGACAGGGACGAAGCUUUUGUGACGGUACCUGUAUAAGAAGCACCGGCUAACUACGUGCCAGCAGCCGCGGUAAUACGUAGGGUGCGAGCGUUGUCCGGAAUUACUGGGCGUAAAGAGCUCGUAGGUGGUUUGUCGCGUCGUCUGUGAAAUUCCGGGGCUUAACUCCGGGCGUGCAGGCGAUACGGGCAUAACUUGAGUGCUGUAGGGGAGACUGGAAUUCCUGGUGUAGCGGUGAAAUGCGCAGAUAUCAGGAGGAACACCGAUGGCGAAGGCAGGUCUCUGGGCAGUAACUGACGCUGAGGAGCGAAAGCAUGGGGAGCGAACAGGAUUAGAUACCCUUGUAGUCCGA
rnacentral:rRNA from 1 species